ensembl:lncRNA novel transcript
AAGUCCAGUAUAAGUUCAAUGUUUCUGUUAAUUUUCUGUCUUGGUGAUCUGUCUAGUGCUCUGAGUAAGGUGUUAAAAUCCCUAAUAUUAUUGUAUUGCUGUCAAAUUCUUUCUUUAGGUCUAGUAGUAUUUGUUUUGGGUGCUCCAAAGUUGGGUGCAUAUAUAUUUAGAAUUGUUAUAUUCUCUUGCUGACAACUGUUAAUCUUCUGGCUCUCAAAUGGUCCCUUUAUCAUUAUAUAAUGACCUUCUUUGUCUUUUACUACCUUUUUUGAUUUAAAGUCUAUUUUAUCUGAUAUAAAUAUAUCUAUGUCUGCUUGUUUUUGGUUUUUGUUUGCAUGGAAUAUCUUUUUCCAUCUCUUUGCAAUCAAUGUAUGUGUCUUUACAGGUGAGUUUCUUAUAGGCAGCAUAUAGUUGGAUAAUGUUUUUAAUCAAUUCUGCCCAAUCUGCAUUUUUUAAGUGGGGGAUUUAGUCCAUUUACAUUCAAGGUUAAUAUUGAUACAUGAGUCUUUAUUCCUGUCAUAUUAUUGAUUGUUUUCAAGCUGUUUUAUAAAUUCUUUGUUUCUUUAUUUUUCUUUUUCUGUCAUUGUGGUUUGAUGAAAUUCUGUUGCAUUGACAUUUGAUUCCUUUCUCUUCCUGCUUUGUGUGAUUGCUUUGUAUAAACACACGAAGUGAGUUUUAUAUUUACCUGUGUUUUUGUGAUGGUGAAUAUUGAGAUUUCAUUUCCAUGUUUAAGACCACUUUGAGCAUUUCCUGUUGUGCUGAUUUAGUGUUGACAAAUUCACUCAGCAUUUGCUUGUCUGGGAAGAACUUUCCUCUUCAUUUAUGAAGCUUAUUCUGGCAGGAUACAAAAUUUUUGGCUGACAAAUAACAUUUUAAGCAUAUAGAAAAUAUAUCAAGUAAUGUAAUAAACCUGUCACCCAGCCUCCACAGGUACUAAUCAUGUGCCAUUUUUGUUUCAUCUAUAUUUCAACCCACUCCUCACGCCCCCAACUGUAUUAUUAUUUGGGGGUUUUUUUGUGAAACAAUGUAUAUACAUUAAAAAGUAGAAUCUUAACUGUAUCCUUUUGAGAAAACAAUGUACCCACAUAAACUUCCUCCUUCUAAGAAUAAAAUUCCCAGCCGGGUAUGAUGGCUUACGCCUGUAACCCCAGCACUUUGAGAGGCCGAGGCAGGCGGAUCACCUGAGGUCAGGAAUUCGAGACUAGCCUGGCCAACAUGAUGAAACCCUGUUGCCACUAAAAAUACAAAAGUUAGCCUGGUGUGGUGGUGCCUGCCUGUAGCUCACCUACCUGGGAGGCUGAGGCAGGAGAAUCGCUGGAACCCAGGAGGUGGGGGCUGCAGUGAGCUGAGAUCAUGCCACUGCACUCCAGCCUGGGUGACAGAGUGAGACUCUGUCUCAAAAACAGAAAAAAAAAAAGAAUAAAAUUCCCCACUUCACAACCAUUAAUGUGCAUAUGAAUCACAUGGGAAUAUGAUGUGUCAGAGGUUGAAGAGGUGGCCAGGAAAAGCAUUUUGAUGGCAGGCUGGAGAACAUCGUGAGAGGAAACUUCGGGCCUGUUGACUGUCAUCUUGGCAAUAAGUGUUGGAUCCUAGCCAAAGUGCUUGGAUGCAACAUGGAGCCAAUCAAUAAAUCCAUCCCCCAUGCUUUUCCUGGCCAUGAGGUAAUUGGCAGCCUAGUUCAUGUCUUGAUGGGAAGCUCUGCCAUGUGGAAGGAUCACAUCUCAGGUUUCUUGACAACUGGAUGACUUUUGAGAACAGAUCUAGGACAGAUCUAUUCUUGGAUUGUGGACAGGCAUCAGCCUACUAACAUCAUAUGGAACAGGUGACAUCCAAAUAUGUUAAGAACCUCUGACAAUGAAGAGUAAAACACAAACUCAAUUUUAAAAGGCACGGGACCUAUGAAAACAUUUUAUGGUAAAAGAAAUACAAAUGGUCAUUUCCCAUAUAAAGAGGCAUCCAACCUCAGUGGUGGUCACAGGAAAAUAAAUUACAAAAAAAGAAGUUUUGUGUGACCAUCAGUUAGGAAAAUAGAAUGCUAGCCAGGCAUAGUGUCUCAUGCCUGUAAUCUCAGCACUUUGGGAUGCUGAGGCAUGAGGAUCUCUUAAGCUCAGGAGUUUGAGGCUACAAUGAGCUAUGAUCAUGCCCUCUAGCAUGGUUAACAGAGAGUGAGACCCAUUUCUAACUAAAUAAAUAAAUGAGUGAAUGAACAUACGUACAUACAUAUAUACACACUGUUUUUUACAAGUGUAUAGGGACUGUAAAUGGCCUUUUAAGGCACAAUUAACAAAUAUAUAUUGAGUUGAAAGAAACAUGUUCUUGCACGCAGGAUUCUACCUCCUGGAAUGCAUCUGAUGACACUACUUGAAAAUGUGCAUAGAAAUGCCCAUGCUAGCAUGUUGGUGGUGGACAUAUAAAUAAUAGAAAAACAAAACAAAACAAAAAGAAAGGUACAUAUAUGUGAGGAAUCUUUUUGAUUACCCUGGGUUUUUAAGAUAAUGUUCAUAGAAGCAAAGCAAGUCAAAUGAAGAACAACUGAGCAGGAAAUGAGGGGGGAAAAUACCCUCAGAGUAAUAAGAUUAUCUCAUUACACUUAAGUUUUGCUGAUGCUUCAGGUUUCCUGGCUAAGUUAUGCAGAAGCAUCUCUCUCUGAAAACCUUCUUGCUGCAGAACAAACCAUGUUUAGUGUCUGUAUGUGUCUCAACUUCCCGUCUGCACCUGGGGGAUGGGAAAAAGGGCAUGGUCCUUGCUUGUGUUUUGGAGUGAAAGAAACAUUAAAGGUCUUGUAAACUUUA